GUAUCCUGUCUGAAUAUGGGGGGACCAUCCUCCAAGGCUAAAUACUCCUGACUGACCGAUAGUGAACCAGUACCGUGAGGGAAAGGCGAAAAGAACCCCGGCGAGGGGAGUGAAAAAGAACCUGAAACCGUGUACGUACAAGCAGUGGGAGCACCUUCGGGUGUGACUGCGUACCUUUUGUAUAAUGGGUCAGCGACUUAUAUUCUGUAGCAAGGUUAACCGUAUAGGGGAGCCGCAGGGAAACCGAGUCUUAACUGGGCGUUAAGUUGCAGGGUAUAGACCCGAAACCCGGUGAUCUAGCCAUGGGCAGGUUGAAGGUUGGGUAACACUAACUGGAGGACCGAACCGACUAAUGUUGAAAAAUUAGCGGAUGACUUGUGGCUGGGGGUGAAAGGCCAAUCAAACCGGGAGAUAGCUGGUUCUCCCCGAAAGCU
rnacentral:rRNA from 1 species